AGUGAACGCUGGCGGUAGGCCUAACACAUGCAAGUCGAACGAGGGGGGGAAGGGUGGGGAAUACAGCGGAAUCUACGCUGGCGGGGGGGAUAAAGUAGGGAAGCUAACGCAAAUACCGCAUACGAUGGAAUGAGACGAUGUGGGAUUAGAGAGUUGGCGGGGAAAAGGCACACCAAGGCGACGAUCCGUAGCUGGUCUGAGAGGAUGAUCAGCCACACUGGAACUGAGACACGGUCCAGACUCCUACGGGAGGCAGCAGUGGGGAAUAUUGGACAAUGGGCGCAAGCCUGAUCCAGCCAUACCGCGUGGGUGAAGAAGGCCUUCGGGUUGUAAAGCCCUUUUGUUGGGAAAGCGUUACCCAAAGAAUAAGCACCGGCUAACUCCGUGCCAGCAGCCGCGGUAAUAC
rnacentral:rRNA from 1 species